AUAAGUAGCUAGGGGUGCCCAAUGAGUUGGGCUGAGAGAGAAGUGCGUUGAAACUUUUUGACUCUUUGGACCUGAUCUGGAUCAUGCCAGCGUAGGGAAGUUAGUCGUUUUAUUU
rfam:Bacillus alcalophilus ATCC 27647 = CGMCC 1.3604 strain AV1934 contig00002, whole genome shotgun sequence.